rnacentral:rRNA from 1 species
UACGGAGGAUGCGAGCGUUAUCCGGAUUUAUUGGGUUUAAAGGGUGCGUAGGCGGACGCUUAAGUCAGCGGUAAAAUUGCGGGGCUCAACCUCGUCGAGCCGUUGAAACUGGGGGCCUUGAGUGGGCGAGAAGAAGGCGGAAUGCGUGGUGUAGCGGUGAAAUGCAUAGAUAUCACGCAGAACCCCGAUUGCGAAGGCAGCCUUCCGGCGCCCUACUGACGCUGAGGCACGAAAGUGCGGGGAUCGAACAGG